UUUUUCCCCUCAAGGAGGAAAAUGAGAUUACCAUGAAAACAUACACACACAUACACACACACAUGUAUAUAGUGAACACACACACACACACACAUAUAUAUAUAUAUGGGUUCAAACUCCGGUCUGGUAUCACUCUACGAUCAGACUUUUCCACCACGCUAUACUGCCUUUCCUACUGAAUAGAAAGCAGGCUGCUAUGUAUUUCAUAUUCUGUUUGAAAAUUUUCAAACAGGAUCUUUCAAAAGUCUCCGUGAAGUUUUAAACUUUAAUAAUUUCAGAAAUACAAAUGCUAAAGACUUAGAACAAAGACCAUUGAGAAUAUUAAAUAUUUAUGUUUAUUUUCUACCAUAACAGGUUCUGUGAAUUUUGAAAAAUAAAUUUAAGUGGUAAUUUUCAGUUCCUGAUUGAAGAUGCAAAAUAAAAAUUGACAUGAAAAAUUUAUACUUCUGUACAACAUAGUGAUUAUACUUCAUAAAAAUGUAUUGUAUUCUUGGAAAUUGCUAAUAGAUUUGAAGUGUUCUAGCUACAAAAAGUGAAAAGUAUGUGAAGCAACUCAUGUAUUAAUUAGCUCAAUUUAGCCAUUUCAAAAUGUAUACAUAUUUCAAAACAACAUAUUGUACCUGAUAAAUAUGUACAAUUUUAGUUGAUAAAUUUAUAUUUCAAAGAUCACAAAACACAUGUAAAAGAAAUUUAAAUAAUUAAAUAGUCAGAUAAUAUUUAUAAGUCUGUAGCACAUAUAUACCUAUGUUUUCAAAGCUUAAGACUGCACUAAGACUUUGUAUGUUCAAGACUGGAUUUCUUUAGCUCUUUCAGUUUGGGAACCAGGAGCCUUUCGACCUAGAAAUUCCAGGAAUAAAAGGAACUCCAAAGAGAUAAGAUGCAGGUACAGAAGGGGACAGGGUCCCCUAUAGUAAAACCACAUUGGAGAAAUUUUUGAGCUAAAGGGGAAGGCUGAAAGAUAUUUACAACUGGAGAGCCAGCAGGUGCCAUGGUGGUUAAGGUGCUGGACUCCCAUUUCGCCAACUGCAGUUCGAGUCACAGACCUGGUAGCU